rnacentral:rRNA from 1 species
CACGCAGGCGGCCUGGUAAGUCAGAUGUGAAAGCCCGGGGCUUAACCCCGGAAGUGCAUUUGAUACUAUUAGGCUUGAGUAUGGGAGAGGGAAGUGGAAUUCCUGGUGUAGAGGUGAAAUUCGUAGAUAUCAGGAGGAACACCGGUGGCGAAGGCGACUUCCUGGACCAAUACUGACGCUGAGGUGCGAAGGCGUGGGGAGCAAACA